UACCACAAAAAAAAAAAAAGAAAAAUCACUCCCCAGAACUACUGCUGACGCCCUGCUGGCUCCUGGGUGUCACCCAGUGGCACUGCGGCUGUACAGCUGGUGGACCCAGGUUGCUGCCCAGACCAGAAUCAGGGAGACCCGAUUCAUAGACCUGGCAGACCUCUGCUGGGAGACUUAGGGGGGUGACUUGAGUCCUCAAAGGACCCACCAGCUGGCUAGGUGGGGUCAGCUAGAGACAGCUUUAGGAUUCUGGUUUAUUGCUGGAAAUAAAAGAGACAAUUAUGGUCAUCUCUUGUGCUGGUUGGAUCCCACGUGUAGACAAGGAAUUUCAAACUCUAAUUUUACCCUGGAACACCAACAAUCCCUUCCCUAAAUUCCCCUAGAGAUGUUAGGGCAAUCUCUAACCUCUAGUAAGAUGGAUGGAUUAGCGAGACCUUCCUUGUGUCUCUAGUUCAUCGGGUACAGAGUCUUCUGGAGUGGGAGAGAGGAGAAGGGAAAAUCAAGGACAAAAGAUACUGUGAAAAAUGGAGAUACUGGAAUCUUCCAGCUGCAGAUCCCUAUUUGUUUGUUUUUGCUUUGGGCCAUGGGAUUUGUUUCAAGCUGAGGCCUUGGCCUUCAGGAGCAAGCUGCCGUGGUCCUCAAAGGCGGGGGGCAGUGAUGGUGGAGUGGGUGACAUCCCACUCACUCUCAGUGAGAGAGUCCCACCCUCUCACUGCAAGCAGGUUGCUAUAUUGUUACUGUGGCCAGUUAGAACCUGCUCUGGGAGGGGAAACUUCUAAAAUCCUGGGAAGUGAGUGUCUCAAGGUCUCAUCCUGGAAGAAUAGUCUGACCCUAGAAGAACAGGUGAGGGGUGAUCUCUCUAUUUCUCAGCCAACUUCUAGAAGAUGGCAGAGAGGGCCAGCAGUGAGUUUAGCCUCAUGGAAAUCACAGGCUUUGCAGCCUUUGGGAUACGUAGACCCUCUGGCUUCCUUCUUCUUUAUACCAGAAAACCAGACCUGCUUCCGCCAGGCUUGGGGCUGCAAGUGGAACCUCUGGGACCAGAGCUAAGAGGAGAGACAGCCUGAGACCCGUGGCCUCCUCAACACGGGGAGAAGUGGCUCCUGACCAGGGCAGAGUGGAGGCUGAUCCCCCUGAAUGCCUCCUCUUCACAUCCUCCAAGGGAGAAGGGCCAUUCUCCUUGACUCCUGGGAGCUGCAGAAUAUUGGAGAGAACACGUCUGCCCAGAACAAAGCAAAACCCUCAAAGGUUCUUUCCUAUCUCUGAUUCUAGAAAAUUACCUGCCCUUUCAUCCACUUCUCACAUUCACGGCCUCUCUGUGUCACUGUCAUUUUCCACCUCCUGGCAUCUCAGCGCUCAUCCUUUCUCUUUUGUCUCUCCGUCUGUCCAGGCUGGUUUGCAUCUCUUUGUCUUUGCAGGGUCUGCAUCCCUGCCUCUCUGUCUGUCCCUCCCUCCGCCUUGGCUGGCUUCUCUCUCAGCUGUCGCUUUUCUCUCCUCUCCUCCUGGCUAGCGCUGAGCAAGUGGCUGUCGGCCGUCCCUCGCUAGAGCCGAAUCCCAGAGAAAACCAGUGUUGGAGCUGAUGAGUGAUUUUGGCUCCCUGUCUGAUUUCCCUCCAGCCUGGUUUUGAAGCUCUGUGCAGCCCUGGGACGUCUGGAGGCCGGCUGGGCCGCAUUGGGCUCUGCUGCUUAGGGCCCCCAGCCUUGGCACCCGAGGUUCCACCCCUUCUCCUGACUUGGAGUGAUCCCGUCGUCCUGUCUUACAAAUUGGGAUCGCCUCCCUGCAUGUGGGCUUUGGUGACAGCCACCAGAUGGCAGGGACUGGUUUUUAUAGUAACUCAUUAACCUCUUGCCAUCCUGCAAUUAAGAAAGCAUUUAAUUGCUUUUGCUCGAGCCAUCCUAUGAGUGAUUUGGGCGGCUCGUGUUCCUCAUGUGAACCGAUUUGCAGCUAGAGCCCGAGAGGGUGGGCACAGCGGCGUGUGAGGGCCCAGACGUGGUGAGCACCCUGGGCAGCCCUGGAUUGCCCUUUGGGGCCUUUGGGUGGAGGGGAGCACGAGCCUUAGAACCUUCCCGAUUGGUUUCCUGCUGGUUCCUCAGCAGGACUCCUGAUGAGUCCUGUGGAUGAGCGCUGGAUGCCCCUGAGAGGCUAUCUAGGUUCCUUCUCAUUUAACCGUGGGGAGGACUAAAGCCAAAUAAGUCAGGGAACUUGCCCCAAGUCACACAGCUAAUCACUGGCACCACCUGGGCUGCAGCCCAAGUGUUCAUUUCCCACCUGCGGUGCUCUGGGCUUCUCCUUGCUUUGCCAGCCUUUCCUGGGAGACGUGCUACUGCAGCGCCUCUGAAACUGUGUUCUCUCCCGUACUUGGUCUGCUUUUAGGUACAUAACUGCCCGAGAGUUAUUUACUCAGGAAAUAGCUCAGGGCAUCCCUGAAUGGAUUAACCAACUCCAUCCAAAGAGGCAGGACCCACUCCCCUCUCCCCGCCACGCACUCCCAACCAGCACACCUGGCAGCCUCACUGCGGCACUGGGGAUCACUGAGUGCACAACGCCGUGACCAAAGAGGCUCCAGCCCGCAGCAGAGCUUCCACCAGCCUUUUUUAGGUGCCAACCCUGCACCAGCUGACCCGCUCACAGCAGAGGCCCCUUAGGCCUCCCAGAGACGGUUAGCAGCUUGCCUCCCAUCCCUGUGUCCCAGCACCACCUCCACAGGGCAGGUCUCCGGGCAUCUGUCAUUGCCGUGUCUUUGUUCCCUUACUGCUUAUACCUUUCCCCGCCACCGACCCCCUCACCUCCCAAACCCCACACCCUUCCACUGGGCUUUGGGUGCUUCUGCUCCACAGCAAUGGAUCCCUCCACCCCCAGCAGGGUGGGCAGGGAGACAUGCCACCCAGACCCCCAUCAACGAAGGCUUUGCCUCGGCUGCUGGGAAGGUGGUCGGCAGGCCACCUUUGGGGGCUGUCUUAGCUGUGGAGGGCUGCCUCGCCCACAGUCACGCCCUUCUGGAGGGGAUGCCCCAUCUGAUGACUGAUCAAGGAGGGCAUAUAAGGACCGGUUAUUUUGGUCCAAUGCAGGACAACUCUGAUGGGUCAUUUCGGCUCCAGAGCUCCCACAGGGUCAGCCCAGGGCCUGUCACUGGCCAGCAUCACAGCUUUACUUCUUCCUCCAACUUCUGCUUCAUCCCAGUCACAUCCCCAGGUAUUUAUCCCAAGAACAUUCCUACUUAUGAAGAAAUAUUAAACGUGAUAACUCUAUAUUUAACAUUUUGAGGAAGUACCAAACUCUUUUCCACAGGGGCUGUACCAUUUUAGAUCCCCGGCAACAACGUGUAAGGGUUCUAAUAUGGUAUACAGGUAUUCCAGCAUCAUGUGUGGAAACGACUUUUCUUUCUUCAUCGACGCAUCUUGGCUUCCUUGUUGAAAUUAAUUGGCCAUAGACGUAUGGGUUUAUUUUUGGACUCUCAAUUCUGUUCCAUUGAUCUAUUUGUCUAUCCUUAUGCUGGUACCUAACUGUCCUGAUUACUGUGGGUUUGUAAUAAGUUUCUUAAAAAUUAAAAUAAUUGUUUCCAGCUUUAUUGAUACACAACAUAUAACUUUGUGUAAGUUUAAGUUAUACAACGUGAUGAUUUGAUACAUGCGUGUAUAUAUAUAUAUAAAUGAUUACCACAAUAGGGCUUAGUUAACGCCUCCAUCACCUUUUUGUGAGUGUGUGUGUGGUGGAAACAUUUGAGAUCCAAUCUUUCAGCAACUUUCAAUUAUACAAUACAGUAUUGUUAACUAUACUGUACAUUAGAUGCCCAGAACUUGUUCAUCUUAUAACUGGAAGUUUGUCCUUUGACUCAUAUCUCCCCAUUUCCUUCACCCUGUAAGUUUUGAAAUCAGCUGUGUUAAGUCCUUCACUUUGUUUCUUCUUUCUUAAGAUAGUCUUGGCUUUUCUGGGUCCCUUACAUUUGCAUGUGAAUUUCAGGAUCGGAGGAGACAGAAAAGGGAGGAGGGCUUUUUAAGUUGCUGACAGUGAGGCCUGCGAUGUGGGACUCCCCCAAGGUCUUCAGUAAAUUCAAUUGGGCAUCUGAAUAACUGGGCAAGUUUAUUUGCUUAUGUACUUAUGUAUUUUGUAGAACAGGGGAAAGGGGCUACGUGUGGUGUUCCCGUUGACUCAGUGUGAAAUGGGGAUGGAGGCCUGAAAGCAGGAGGCCGGCACAGGGAAGACCCUGGGGGUGAAAGCUUUCUCAGACCUGGGGCAGCUCCCGGCUCCUUGAGCUGUUCCACUGGGGGACUGAGAAAUCCCCGCCAUUGGCAGGCCUGUCGGUAACACAGAGCGCGAGGCACAGAGAUGAAGCCGCUCUCUGUGAAGAGGGAGGAGGGUGGCACCCUGGGGCACCCCAAAACACCUCCUCGGGCCUCUGACCUCUGUGGAACGGAGCUGGACAUCAGGGCCCCUGUGUGGCUUUAGAAGGGUUGGUUUUGUAACCCAUGUCUCACUUGGGGGGCGGCUCUCCCCCACCCGCCGUGGACAGAUGGGGUUCACGAGCUCCCCGGGACUCCGUCUGUCACGUCUCCCAGCAGCCCCAUCUUCUCUGGAGUCGACAGCUGGCCUGGCUGCCUCUGCGGAGUGGCAGCCUCUCUACUGCCUGAAGCCAAGUUCCUCUCAGCGCUGUCACUCUCUGGGCUGUUCCCGUGGCUGCUGCAAUGGGUGAUGAGACCCCGUGUGACUCGUGUCCUCUGCACAGACUCCAGGGCUAGGCUCUGAGGCCCAGGAGGUCUGAGAUCCUGGCCAGAGGGUGCAGGUGUGCGGGCAGGUGGGUGUGAGCAUUCCAGUUAUCCCUCUUUCAGGAGUUCUGUUUCCUCAUCCUUUCCUCAGAGUCCUUCAGGGAGAGAGAAAGCAUUCUGCCCCCUUUCCUGGGACUGGAAUUCUCUCCCACUCAUGGCUGCCCAGAUCUGGUUCCCAGAUGCCUCUUGGAAUAUCUUACUGGAGAAUGCUUGCUCACUGGUCCUUGAGCCUGGAAGAAUCCUGGACCUUCAGAGCCACAGCGAAAGGACGCAAAGCAAAACCAACCCGGAACAGUAUACAGAGGAAGUCCAGAGGAAACCGGGCACAAGCUUCCGAGAACCCUCUCCGGGUGGAGGCACACAGGAUGCACUAAUUCCUCCAGCAGCAAACUGUGACAACACGUGUGACGUGUUGCCAACCAGGCAGGCUCAUGGGAGACUCAGUGCCCAGGGCUUUUCUCGGGAGGAGAGGGGAGGGCCGGCCGCACAGGCCUCUCUGCCUGCCCCGUACCACGAUUCCUGACUCGCAGGAGGAAGACAGGUGUUCAGCAUGAAGCAUAUUGUUUUUGGAGCCACUCUUAUCAGGGAUUGGUGGGGACCCUCCAAAACCCAAGUUCCCUGAUGCCAGCCCAGGGCCAGCCUUGCCAGCAGGCCUUUGAAGGAGGGCAGCCACAGGUGUUUAUGAUAACUCUUUAAUGCACAUUUCUCCACUUCAAUCAGUCAUCAGAUAUGGUCCUCCGGGGAAGAGGUGUGACCUUGGUGCAGCUGUCCUCUGACUGCCGAAGCCUGCCUGCCACAGCCCUCCCAGCAAGACCUUCAUUAAGGGGGAAUCUGCGUCCAAGCACCCACCACAGGCAUGAGAUGAGUAAGGUGCUCCCAGCCCUCACGGCUGUGGGAUGCUGAAGAGCUCUGCUGCUGGGAAUCUGGCCACCUCUCACCUCAUGUGGACCCGGGAGAACUAAGCCAAGAGGGAGCCCCUGACAUUGUCCAUCCAUGAAUGUGCACAGGUCAGAUAGCAGGAGAGAGAAAGUGGAGCUUGGUGUUCAAGGGGGAAGUGAGGCGGUGCUAGGGAGACGGCUUGUCUGUAAACACAGAUAACCAGAGUAGAAUAGAAUAGACUGGUAGUAGAGACAUAGUUGCUGAAUUGGCUUGAUCCUGCUGACUACGUUCCCCAAGCUGAGAGCUGUGGAUUUAGAGACAUAAAUAGGGGUUGGUUUCUGCCCUUGGGUGCUCAUUGUCUACAGGGGGAGACUGACCUAUAAUCAGAAAGACGUGGUAAUUGAGAGAAGCAGAGAGUGGGGAGAGCCUGGGUGAUCCCUAUGCCUAGUAGGAAUGGAAUGAGGAGGGAAGGCUUCCUGGAGGCGGUGUCAUUCACGUUGGGCCCUAAAGGAUGAGUAGGAGUUAACCAAGUGGACAAGGAGAGAGGAAGGAGAUUUCAGGAAUGGACAAUAAAACAAACCCUGGGUAACUCGAA